rnacentral:rRNA from 1 species
AUUGAACGCUGGCGGCAGGCCUAACACAUGCCAGUCGAACGGUAACAGGAAGACGCUUGCUUCUUUGCGGACGAGUGGCGGACGGGUGAGUAAUGUCUGGGAAACUGCCUGAUGGAGGGGGAUAACUACUGGAAACGGUAGCUAAUACCGCAUAACGUCGCAAGACCAAAAAGGGGGACCUUCGGGCCUCUUGCCAGCGGAUGUGCCCAGAUGGGAUUAGCGUGUAGGUGGGGUAACGGCCCACCCAGGCGACGAUCCCUAGCCGGUCUGAGAGGAUGACCAGCCACACUGGAACUGGGACACGGUCCAGACUCCUACGGGAGGCAGCAGUGGGGAAUAUUGCACAAUGGGCGCAAGCCUGAUGCAGCCAUGCCGCGUGUAUGAAGAAGGCCUUCGGGUUGUAAAGUACUUUCAGCGGGGAGGAAGGGAGUAAAGUUAAUACCUUUCCUCAUUGACGUUACCCGCAGAAGAAGCACCGGCUAACUCCGUG